AUCGCCUACGGGGGGCAGCAGUGGGGAAUAUUGCACAAUGGGGGAAACCCUGAUGCAGCGACGCCGCGUGAGUGAAGAAGUAUUUCGGUAUGUAAAGCUCUAUCAGCAGGAACGAGACAAGACGGUACCUGACUAAGAAGCCCCGGCUAACUACGUGCCAGCAGCCGCGGUAAUACGUAGGGGGCAAGCGUUAUCCGGAUGUACUGGGUGUAAAGGGAGCGUAGACGGCAGAGCAAGUCCGGAGUGAAAGCCCGGAGC
rnacentral:rRNA from 1 species